rnacentral:lncRNA from 1 species
AGAAAAAGGAGAUGUCGCAAAGUUCGGGGAGCCAUAACACAUGGAAGCUUUGCGAUUGUGGGGGAGCUAUUAAAAGAUGGACUUCCUGGACAUAUUCGAAUCCUGGGAGAAGAUUGAAGCUUGUGAGAAUAAUUGGGUAAGUCACUUUGUCUGGAAUUUUGUGUUUUUUGGUCCAUGGGUUUUAGAUCUAACCCUAGAUAUGGAAAAUUCUUCAGAAGAACAGAGGCAAAGGUCAUUAUUGGGAGUGGGUGGAUGAAGAGAUAUGCCUACGAGGAAAGAAAGUGCUUCCUGGGUUGCUAGAGAAGAUAAUGAAGGACUAAAAGAUAAGCUCAGAGCAAUUGAGCAAGAAAACAAGUAAUUGACAGCAACAGUUGGAAGAUUGGGAAGGCAGAGAAUGAAGAUGGAUGAGAAAGUUAUGGUGUAUUGACAUAGAGGGAAACUAAUGUGGGUGGGUCUGUUUGUGGCGUGGGUUCUUGGUGCGAUGGUUGGAAUGUUGAUGAUUAAGAUCCUAAAUUUGUCUGAAAAAAUUCCAGAGAAUUUGAUGAUCAAAUAGUGAAAUGUGUAAUGAGUUUGGUACAUUUGCGUCAUUGCAUAACUUCAAUCCAAAGUUGGGUACAUUUGUGCCAUUUGAAUAACUUGAAUCCAAAGUUUGGUACAUUUGUGUCAUUUGUGCCAUUUGUGCCAUUUGUGUCAUUUGUGCCAUUUGUGCCAUUGUAAUGUGUAAGUGUAUAGUAACAUAACUUAAGAUAUAAUUUGACAAUUGCAU